GGAGUAAAAGUCGUAACAAGGGCUCCGUAGGUGAACCUGCGGAGGGAUCAUUACAGCGUUCAUGCCCUACCGGGUAGAUCUCCCACCCUAUGUUAUUAUUACUUUGUUGCUUUGGCGGGCCGUCAGGCUCCGGCCCGACUACCGGCCCCGGCUGGUAAGCGCCCGCCAGUGGACCCAAAACCCUGAAUAUUAGUGUCGUCUGAGUACUAUAUAAUAGUUAAAACUUUCAACAACGGAUCUCUUGGUUCUG
rnacentral:misc_RNA from 1 species